UUUCAAUUAAGAGAACAACAAAACCUACAAAAGAAACCAUAAAAAUCAAAUCUUUAUCAGAAUCAGAAUUAGGACCAGCUCAAAGUUCAUCAUACACACUUCACAGAAUCAAAUUUCAUUACUAAGAUUCAAAAUCAAACUCAAAAUUAUCGAAAUCAACACAAAUUCUUCACCCAAACAAACAAAAAAAAAUCUUCACACAUAACUCUUAAGAUCCAAAAACCAAACGGUCAAACAAAAAAAAAUCAUCAAAAUCAUCAAAUCAAAACUCGCCGACAACAAAAUAAAACCCUAAAUCAAAAACAAACACGAUAAAAACAAAGUUUCACAAAUCAAAGAUCACUAAAUCAACAGAAAUGAAAAAAAAAAUAGAAAGAGAGAGAUUGAAUCACCCACAAGAAGAAAAGCUUGAGAUGG